rnacentral:tRNA from 1 species
GGCUGGAUAGCUCAGCUGGCUAGAGCACACGGUUCAUACCCGUGGUGUCGGGAGUUCAAGUCUCUCUCCAGCCA